rnacentral:rRNA from 1 species
AGUGAACGCUGCCGGUAGGCCUAACACAUGCAAGUCGAACGGCAGCACAGUAAGAGCUUGCUCUUACGGGUGGCGAGUGGCGGACGGGUGAGGAAUACAUCGGAAUCUACUUUUUCGUGGGGGAUAACGUAGGGAAACUUACGCUAAUACCGCAUACGACCUACGGGUGAAAGCAGGGGAUCUUCGGACCUUGCGCGAUUGAAUGAGCCGAUGUCGGAUUAGCUAGUUGGCGGGGUAAAGGCCCACCAAGGCGACGAUCCGUAGCUGGUCUGAGAGGAUGAUCAGCCACACUGGAACUGAGACACGGUCCAGACUCCUACGGGAGGCAGCAGUGGGGAAUAUUGGACAAUGGGCGCAAGCCUGAUCCAGCCAUACCGCGUGGGUGAAGAAGGCCUUCGGGUUGUAAAGCCCUUUUGUUGGGAAAGAGAAGCAGCAGGUUAAUACCCCGCUGUUCUGACGGUACCCAAAGAAUAAGCACCGGCUAACUUCGUG